rnacentral:rRNA from 1 species
UACAGAGGUCCCGAGCGUUGUUCGGAUUCAUUGGGCGUAAAGGGUGCGUAGGCGGUUUUCUAAGUUUGAUGUGAAAUCCCGGGGCUUAACCCUGGAAUUGCAUUGAAUACUGGGAGACUAGAGUACUGGAGAGGAAACUGGAAUUUACGGUGUAGUAGUGAAAUGCGUAGAGAUCGUAAGGAAGACCAGUGGCGAAGGCGAGUUUCUGGACAGUUACUGACGCUGAGGCACGAAGGCCAGGGGAGCAAACGGG